rnacentral:misc_RNA from 1 species
CAGAGUUUCUAUAACUCCCAAACCAUUGUGAACCUUACCUCAUACCGUUGCUUCGGCGGGCGGGCCGGCCCCAGGGCCGCGCCCCCCAGGCCCCUCGCGGGGCGCCCGCCGGAGGAAACCAAACUCUUGAUUAUUAUGGCCUCUCUGAGUCUUCUGUACUGAAUAAGUCA